CCCAACUGAUGGAGGUGUUAGAUGAUCGAGUCCUUUCCUUCAACCUAGAAUAGCAUGAUUUGGACUUAUAAUGGGGAACACCACAGUGUUUCCUUUUCUGUAUGAAAACUCAAUAGUUAUAGAGUAAUAUUAGAAGGUGCCAUGUCAAGAACAUAAAAGGAGAGGGUAAUACAUCCUGCUUUCUGAAGCACAUUUGCCAUCCACAGUUCCUGCAUUCUGCAUGGACACAAAGGAGAGAGUGAUAGCACCGAAUAUCUAGAUGCUUUUCUCAUCCCCACCCCUCCAUAAGAUCUUUAUCUGGCCCUUUAAACGGAGAAGUGAAAAAACAAAUGAGACAGCAUGAGAAAUUCUCUUGCCACUAACUGAGAGCAGUUUAUCACCUUUAGAAUAUCUAAUGUUAAAACUUCAAAGAGAAUACAUGGGACAGUCCGAGCCUCAUCCGAUUGUCCUGCUUGUCCUGGAGUUCAGAUCUGAGAUGAAUCCUAGUGGAUGUGGAUUUACAUGUCAGUACCUGAAAGUGGCUCAGCCCCCACCCUGGAAUGAAGUGCCUCAUUUCAUAACAGGUUAUCAUCAUCCAUCAAGAACAGGUCAACAAAAAUGGCUGCGUGUAAACCGUGAGUGCAUGAGUUGCUAAAGAGCAGAAGAGGAGAGAAUGGAGGACAGAAGUCAGGAGAAGGAUUCUGAAUUUUCCAACAGUCAGCUCUGCUCAUCUUGCCAGUUCGUGUAGAUGGCUCCUAACUCUAGUUGUACACCAGUGAAUAGGAUCUUUAUGACUUUUUCUAAUCGGCAGACCAGAAAACUGCCAAAAGAGUCACACUUUUAAAGGAGAUCCUGACCAAUAGCUAGAAAAGCUGGUUAUGGGCCUCGUCCCUGACACUAAAAUGUAUUGGUGGCAACAUGCUUCGUGGGAAGGGGACGAGCAAGUCCAAGAGAAAGUGCUUAUCAUAUUAGACACUGGGCAAAUUACUACCACAUACCCAGUGGCAAGUGAUGGACCCAGGAAGCAAAGGAUAUUGGAGUUGAGACGCCAGAUCAGAUGGAGUUCUUACCGUCUCUAGCAGGCUGCCUCUAUAUUCCCCACGGUAAAAUGGGUGUUAUAACAGCACUUACAUCUUGGGUUAUUGUGAAGAUGAAAUAAAAUUAUCUAUGUAAAGAAUUGAA